ACGGGAGGCAGCAGUGGGGGAUAUUGCACAAUGGGGGAAACCCUGAUGCAGCGACGCCGCGUGAGUGAUGAAGUAUUUCGGUAUGUAAACCUCUGUCAACAGGGACGAAGAAGACGGUACCUGUGAAGGAAGCUCCGGCUAACUACGUGCCAGCAGCCGCGGUAAUACGUAGGGAGCAAGCGUUAUCCGGAAUUACUGGGUGUAAAGGGAGUGUAGGCGGGACUGUAAGUCAGAUGUGAAAUAUACCGGCUCAACUGGUAGACUGCAUUUGAAACUGCGGUUCUUGAGUGAAGUAGAGGUAAGCGGAAUUCCUAGUGUAGCGGUGAAAUGCGUAGAUAUUAGGGGGAACAUCAGUGGCGAAGGCGGCUUACUGGGCUUUAACUGACGCUGAGGCUCGAAAGCGUGGGGAGCAAACAGGAUUAGAUACCCUGGUA
rnacentral:rRNA from 1 species